rnacentral:rRNA from 1 species
GGUUAAGCGACUAAGCGUACACGGUGGAUGCCCUGGCAGUCAGAGGCGAUGAAGGACGUGCUAAUCUGCGAUAAGCGUCGGUAAGGUGAUAUGAACCGUUAUAACCGGCGAUUUCCGAAUGGGGAAACCCAGUGUGAUUCGUCACACUAUCAUUAACUGAAUCCAUAGGUUAAUGAGGCGAACCGGGGGAACUGAAACAUCUAAGUACCCCGAGGAAAAGAAAUCAACCGAGAUUCCCCCAGUAGCGGCGAGCGAACGGGGAGCAGCCCAGAGCCUGAAUCAGUGUGUGUGUUAGUGGAAGCGUCUGGAAAGGCGCGCGAUACAGGGUGACAGCCCCGUACACAAAAAUGCACAUACUGUGAGCUCGAUGAGUAGGGCGGGACACGUGGUAUCCUGUCUGAAUAUGGGGGGACCAUCCUCCAAGGCUAAAUACUCCUGACUGACCGAUAGUGAACCAGUACCGUGAGGGAAAGGCGAAAAGAACCCCGGCGAGGGGAGUGAAAAAGAACCUGAAACCGUGUACGUACAAGCAGUGGGAGCACAGAGCAAUCUGUGUGACUGCGUACCUUUUGUAUAAUGGGUCAGCGACUUAUAUUCUGUAGCAAGGUUAACCGAAUAGGGGAGCCGAAGGGAAACCGAGUCUUAACUGGGCGUUAAGUUGCAGGGUAUAGACCCGAAACCCGGUGAUCUAGCCAUGGGCAGGUUGAAGGUUGGGUAACACUAACUGGAGGACCGAACCGACUAAUGUUGAAAAAUUAGCGGAUGACUUGUGGCUGGGGGUGAAAGGCCAAUCAAACCGGGAGAUAGCUGGUUCUCCCCGAAAGCUAUUUAGGUAGCGCCUCGUGAAUUCAUCUCCGGGGGUAGAGCACUGUUUCGGCAAGGGGGUCAUCCCGACUUACCAACCCGAUGCAAACUGCGAAUACCGGAGAAUGUUAUCACGGGAGACACACGGCGGGUGCUAACGUCCGUCGUGAAGAGGGAAACAACCCAGACCGCCAGCUAAGGUCCCAAAGUCAUGGUUAAGUGGGAAACGAUGUGGGAAGGCCCAGACAGCCAGGAUGUUGGCUUAGAAGCAGCCAUCAUUUAAAGAAAGCGUAAUAGCUCACUGGUCGAGUCGGCCUGCGCGGAAGAUGUAACGGGGCUAAACCAUGCACCGAAGCUGCGGCAGCGACGCUUAUGCGUUGUUGGGUAGGGGAGCGUUCUGUAAGCCUGUGAAGGUGUACUGUGAGGUAUGCUGGAGGUAUCAGAAGUGCGAAUGCUGACAUAAGUAACGAUAAAGCGGGUGAAAAGCCCGCUCGCCGGAAGACCAAGGGUUCCUGUCCAACGUUAAUCGGGGCAGGGUGAGUCGACCCCUAAGGCGAGGCCGAAAGGCGUAGUCGAUGGGAAACAGGUUAAUAUUCCUGUACUUGGUGUUACUGCGAAGGGGGGACGGAGAAGGCUAUGUUGGCCGGGCGACGGUUGUCCCGGUUUAAGCGUGUAGGCUGGUUUUCCAGGCAAAUCCGGAAAAUCAAGGCUGAGGCGUGAUGACGAGGCACUACGGUGCUGAAGCAACAAAUGCCCUGCUUCCAGGAAAAGCCUCUAAGCAUCAGGUAACAUCAAAUCGUACCCCAAACCGACACAGGUGGUCAGGUAGAGAAUACCAAGGCGCUUGAGAGAACUCGGGUGAAGGAACUAGGCAAAAUGGUGCCGUAACUUCGGGAGAAGGCACGCUGAUAUGUAGGUGAAGUCCCUCGCGGAUGGAGCUGAAAUCAGUCGAAGAUACCAGCUGGCUGCAACUGUUUAUUAAAAACACAGCACUGUGCAAACACGAAAGUGGACGUAUACGGUGUGACGCCUGCCCGGUGCCGGAAGGUUAAUUGAUGGGGUCAGCGCAAGCGAAGCUCUUGAUCGAAGCCCCGGUAAACGGCGGCCGUAACUAUAACGGUCCUAAGGUAGCGAAAUUCCUUGUCGGGUAAGUUCCGACCUGCACGAAUGGCGUAAUGAUGGCCAGGCUGUCUCCACCCGAGACUCAGUGAAAUUGAACUCGCUGUGAAGAUGCAGUGUACCCGCGGCAAGACGGAAAGACCCCGUGAACCUUUACUAUAGCUUGACACUGAACAUUGAGCCUUGAUGUGUAGGAUAGGUGGGAGGCUUGGAAGUGUGGACGCCAGUCUGCAUGGAGCCGACCUUGAAAUACCACCCUUUAAUGUUUGAUGUUCUAACGUUGACCCGUAAUCCGGGUUGCGGACAGUGUCUGGUGGGUAGUUUGACUGGGGCGGUCUCCUCCUAAAGAGUAACGGAGGAGCACGAAGGUUGGCUAAUCCUGGUCGGACAUCAGGAGGUUAGUGCAAUGGCAUAAGCCAGCUUGACUGCGAGCGUGACGGCGCGAGCAGGUGCGAAAGCAGGUCAUAGUGAUCCGGUGGUUCUGAAUGGAAGGGCCAUCGCUCAACGGAUAAAAGGUACUCCGGGGAUAACAGGCUGAUACCGCCCAAGAGUUCAUAUCGACGGCGGUGUUUGGCACCUCGAUGUCGGCUCAUCACAUCCUGGGGCUGAAGUAGGUCCCAAGGGUAUGGCUGUUCGCCAUUUAAAGUGGUACGCGAGCUGGGUUUAGAACGUCGUGAGACAGUUCGGUCCCUAUCUGCCGUGGGCGCUGGAGAACUGAGGGGGGCUGCUCCUAGUACGAGAGGACCGGAGUGGACGCAUCACUGGUGUUCGGGUUGUCAUGCCAAUGGCACUGCCCGGUAGCUAAAUGCGGAAGAGAUAAGUGCUGAAAGCAUCUAAGCACGAAACUUGCCCCGAGAUGAGUUCUCCCUGACUCCUUGAGAGUCCUGAAGGAACGUUGAAGACGACGACGUUGAUAGGCCGGGUGUGUAAGCGCAGCGAUGCGUUGAGCUAACCGGUACUAAUGAACCGUGAGGCUUAACCUU